UACUCCAUUUUUCUUGGAAAGUCUGCUGGAUGAUGUUUUUCUUCAGUAAAAUAAAUGAAGGCAAAUUCCCUGAUAACUGAGACAAAUUCAGAGAGAGGAAGGAGAACUACUGAGCUGCUGAAUAUCUGACAGACAUACUUGCAAGGACUAUGAAGUUCUACUUAGCCUCUUCAAUGAACCAGACUC